GACGAACGCUGGCGGCGUGCUUAACACAUGCAAGUCGAACGGACAUUUUUUGGAAAGUUCUUCGGAACUGGAAUCUAAAUGUUAGUGGCGGACGGGUGAGUAACGCGUGAGCAAUCUGCCUUUCAGAGGGGGAUAACAGCCGGAAACGGCUGCUAAUACCGCAUAAUGCAUUGGAUUCGCAUGUUUCUGAUGCCAAAGAUUUUAUCGCUGAAAGAUGAGUCUACGGCUGAUUAGCCAGUUGGCGGGGUAAAGGCCCACCAAAGCUAUGAUCAGUAGCCGAGCUGAGAGGCUGGCCGGCCACAUUGGGACUGAGACACGGCCCAG
rnacentral:rRNA from 1 species